UGGGGAAUUUUGGACAAUGGGCGAAAGCCUGAUCCAGCAAUGCCGCGUGUGUGAAGAAGGCCUUCGGGUUGUAAAGCACUUUUGUCCGGAAAGAAAUCCUUGGCUCUAAUACAGUCGGGGGAUGACGGUACCGGAAGAAUAAGCACCGGCUAACUACGUGCCAGCAGCCGCGGUAAUACGUAGGGUGCAAGCGUUAAUCGGAAUUACUGGGCGUAAAGCGUGCGCAGGCGGUUUGCUAAGACCGAUGUGAAAUCCCCGGGCGUCAACCUAGGGAACUGGCAUUGGUGAGCUGGCAGGCUAGAGUAUGGCAGGAGGGGGGUAGAAUUCCACGUGUAGCAGUGAAAUGCGUAGAGAUGUGGAGGAAUACCGAUGGCCGAAGGCAGCCCCCUGGGCAAUACUGACGCUCAUGCACGAAAGCGUGGGGAGCAAACAGGAUUAGAUACCCCUGGUAGUCCACGCCCUAAACGAUGUCAACUGUUGUUGGGGAUUCAUUUCCUUAGUAACGUAGCUAACGCGUGAAGUUGACCGCCUGGGGAGUACGGUCGCAAGAUUAAAACUCAAGGAAUUGACGGGGUCAUAGCUGUUUCCU
rnacentral:rRNA from 1 species